CGUAUAUCAAAGAGUAAUUUAACACACAAUCGUUACUCUUUACGUUACCAUGGCAAUAUUACGUCACCAUUUAUCUAGCCUAUAUCAGCCAAAAAGCCAUCAAGCGGAAAUAAGAACGGUGACCUACCUUUUUGUAUCUGCGCGUAGCGCAGAUAUAUUGCUAUCGCGUCUGUCAGUAAAGUUAAGUCGUUAAAGGUGUUAAGUCGUUAAUGUUAAGUUAACCUUGUUUUGACCUGUUCGCAGGCUAGAACAGCUUUAAAACAAGAUGGCGUCUUUCGAAAAGCUUUCAAGAGUAGUAAUCAUUUUAAUAGUAAUCGUGGUAUUAAUAUACUUUAUCCUGACUCUAUUUUGAUAAAAUCUUCUUCUAUAGCAGUCUUGGAGUGAUAUAACUCUUACAGUCAAACCGGAUGUUCUGUUCCCAUGAGUAUUGCAACAUUGC